AGUGGGAUAGAUGGGUCAAAUGGUGGUUCCAUUCCAAUUUUUUCAAGGGAUCUCCAUACUGCUUUCUAGAUUGGUUGCACCAAUUUGCAGUCCCACUAGCAAU
rnacentral:pre_miRNA from 1 species